CGCCGGCAGUGUUGGUGGCACCUGCGUGGUGGCGGUGGCACCAGUACUGGCGGUGGC
rnacentral:pre_miRNA from 1 species